GCUGGGCGUGGUGGUGGGUGCCUGUAAUCCCAGCUACUCGGAGGCUGAGGCAGAAGAAUUGCUUGAACCCGGGAGACAGAGGUUGCAGUGAGCUGAGAUCAUGCCACUGCACUCCAGCCCGGGUGACAGAGCGAGACCCUGUCUCAA
ensembl:misc_RNA Metazoa_SRP Metazoan signal recognition particle RNA